AUGGGACAAAUUUAAGGCAGGUUUAGACGUCAAUCGAAUACCACUGGUGAAGAGACCAUAUACACUGUUUAUGAAGGUCACGAAAUAAUGUUCCAUGUUUCUACAAUGCUGCCAUUCUCCUCAGAGAACAAACAGCAGGUUGAAAGAAAGCGUCAAAUAGGGAACGAUAUCGUCAACAUCAACUUCUGGGAUGGUGAUCCAAACAGCGCGCCAUCUUUCAAACCAAGUAUGAUGAAAACCAGAUUUACGCAUAUAUUUGCCUUGAUUAGGUACAAUCUUGAGACGUUCCGAUACCG
rnacentral:lncRNA from 1 species